rnacentral:tRNA from 1 species
GCUGGAAUAGCUCAAUUGGUAGAGCAUCCGCCUUGUAAGCGGAAGGUUGCAGGUUCGAAGCCUGUUUCCAGCA